rfam:Ictidomys tridecemlineatus contig129553, whole genome shotgun sequence.
GCUUGCUUCAGCGAAAAUGUACUAAAAUUGGAAUAUACAGAGAAGAUUAGCAUGGCCCCUGUGCAAGAAUGACAUGCAAAUUCAUGAAGCAUUCCAUUUUUUU